AGCCUAUCUGUGGCACUGUUUACACAAAAUCUUUAAAAUAUUUACAUUUGUAAUUAGUUAAUACAUUAACCAGUGGAUUUAGUGAAUUGAAGGACCUCUAGGGACCUCUUUGGAAAGAACCAACCUCUUAUCAAAAUACAAAGAAGAAGGAAAAAAAGUCAAGCUGAACUCUCUUGCUGAUGAAAGAAGACAUAAUCCAGCAGCAUGGAUAAUGUUCCUUCAUGGAGACCGAAGUUUUGAGAAGCAGAGAGCACAGGUGCACAUCUUGGCAGGUAAAUGGGAAAAGAACCCCAUUCUUCAGUGGCUGUUGAGCCAUGAAUACUGCAGAUUCUGGAAGUAGUUCAAGGCCAGCUCCUGUGGUUUUGAAAGCUUCUUCCUGGCCUUAACCCCCAGGGCCAGUCUAAAUCAGCUAUUCUGGAUCAGCUGCAUGUGCACCCCAGAAGUCAAGAGUUGGAUCUCCCCAAAAGCCUUUGCUCUAUGCUGAGAAUAGCUCACGAGCCAUAGUGUCAUAGCUUUCACUCCAUGAUUUUUCUGAUCUCUUGCACUAACAUCCUGUGCUGCCUGCCUAUUACUUUGUGGUUUUAAAUGCUGAAUACCAGACAUAAUGUGUUUAAUGACUGGCAGUUCUUGCUGCAGGAAGAGCACUCCACUCUCCUCCAGAAAGCGAAGUUCAAAGGCAGAUGUUCUGCAAGUGUUUGGGGAGCAGGCAAUCGAAAUUAAUGACUUUGCCAUUUACCAUUGUGAGGCCGGUGAUAAUGCACCUCAAAGACUGAAGAUUAUCCAUGAUGAUUUCCCCAGUCAGAGGAGAAAAGUCUUCUGAACAGCUCCAUUCCACUAGAAAACAAAAUAAACAGUGGGAAGGUAAUUCAGGUAUCAGCAUCCAAUAAAGAAACAUUUGCAUUUCA